rnacentral:lncRNA from 1 species
CGUGUUUUUGAUUGGACACCCUAUUGAAUUGCAUGCACAUGCCAGAUCACCUAGAGGAUGUUGAAAGUGCAUAUGUACAAAGAUGAACACUUGAUCUGCAGGUUAUUUUAGAGUGCCAUUUCUUCAGCUUCCUAUGGCUACCCAGUACAUCAAGGGUGUGUCCCAAUUGACACCCUAUUCACUAUAGUGCACUACUUUUUACCAGAGCCUUAUGGGCCCUGGUCGAAAGGUAAUAAGAUCUUAUAGGUAAUAAGAUUCCAUUUGAGACGCAACCCAAGUCAAGGCUCACUGAUAUGAAUGUGGCUCUACAUAGUGCCUUUAUUCACUGAGGACAAGACCAUGAUUAAUGUCAUCUUCUGCUUAAUGUCAGAAUUGCAUAACCGUCCUCUCAUGGAAAAUCUACAUUUUAGUUUGAAACACAAGGACCUGUUUUUGUUUUUGUGUGGUGGUGUGGUUCCAGACUGGUGUGUUUAGAUUUUUUACAAUUUUACCAUUGCCAGAUGUUUGUAAUGUUCGCAAUGUGAUGAGGAUCGUGUGUUUCUCCUAACUGCUAGACUAUCAAACUGUUAGUGACAACAUGGCCCUCCCAGAGCUGGUCAGGCUGGACUGGAUCAUCAUGUUCAUGCAACUAUUUGUCUCUCUUGAACGCCUUGACUGGUUAACUGGCCUCAUUGCAUUAACACAAUCUUGUCAGCUGAUUACAAUUGUGCAGUCAAGCUUGUGCUAAUUGCACCACCAUUCAUGGAGCUACUAUCAAAUCAAUCAAAUCAAAUUGUAUUUGUAACAUGCUUUGUAAACAACAGGUGUAGACUAACAGUGAAAUGCUUAGUUACGGGCCCUUCCCAACAACGCAGAGAGUAAAAUAAUAUAAACAAAUUAUAACACAAUGAAUAAAUACACAAUGACUAACGAUAACUUGGCUAUAUACACAGGGUAACAGUACCGAGUCAAUGUACAAAUCUGUAGUUCUGCCACUGAGCAAGGCAGUUAACCCACUGUUCUCCGGGUGCCGAAGACGUAACCGAAAGUCAGGGUGUCAUUUGGGACACACACUUGAUGUACUGUUCCCCGGGCGCCGAAGACGUGGAUGUCGAUUAAGGCAACCCCCCCCCGCACCUCUUCGAUUCAGAGUGGUUGGGUCAAAUGCGGAAGACACAUUUCAGUUGAAGGCAUUCAGUUCUACAGCUGACUAGGUAUCCCCCUUUCAGAAAGUAUUCAAACCUCUUAACUUUUUCCACAUUUUGUUGUGUUACAGCCUGAAUUUAAAAUGUAUUAAAUAGAUUUAGUUGCGCUGGCCUACACACAAUUCCCCAUAAUGUCAAAGUGUAAUUACGUUUUGAGAAAUGUUUACAAAUGAAUUAAA